AACAAUCGGCAACACCCACAUUUCCACUAUGUUAGCCGAAUACUCAUUCUCUUCUUAGUCCUAAAUUCGGCACCUCCAACAAAAUAGCUUAACAAUUUCAACUUUCAUGCUAACAUAACAAGCAACUUAACACAUCCAUAUAACUAGCAUGCUAAUAGCAUCAAGGUAUCAACUAAAAUUUUUUAAGCUCCUUAGCCGAA
rnacentral:lncRNA from 1 species